rnacentral:rRNA from 1 species
AGGAAAUAGAUACCCGGGUAGUCCACGCUGUAAACGAUGAACACUAGGUGUAGGUGAUGUGAAAAGUUAUCUGUAACCGAAAGCCAAACGCGUUAAGUGUUCCGCCUGGGGAGUACGGCCGCAAGGCUAAAACUCAAAGGAAUUGACGGGGGCCCGGCACAAGCAGCGGAGCGUGUGGUUUAAUUACGAUGCGACGCGAAGAACCUUACCCACGGUUUGUACAUGCACGUAGUAGUGAAGCGAAAGCGGAACGACCCUUCGGGUAGCGUGCACAGGUGCUGCAUGGCUGUCGUCAGCUCGUGUCGUGAGAUGUUGGGUUAAGUCCCGCAACGAGCGUAACCCCGUCGUGGCUAGUUACAAGUGUCUAGCCAGACUGCCGACAUCAAGUUGGAGGAAGGUGGGGUAUGAUGUCAAGUCAGCAUGG